UAAUAUCUUUUAGGUUUCGGGUUUGAAAAAUGACCUUUUUUGGAUGGCAGUUUUCUGAACUCUUGUCAACAGGCCAGAGGCUAUGGAGCUGAAGUACUCUGGGAAUGAUCCAAAACAGCAACUUCUCCAAACUCCAAGGUUUGCUGCUUGUCCUGUUUCAUGGAGAGGACAGCCAUCUGUUUCAAGGAAGGACAUUCCACUUCCAUCCUGCUUUAAAGUUACGGAACCAUCUGGAAGGAGAUGAGAGAAGUUUCCAAGCAGAGAUCCAUAAAAAUUGUGAAUCUGAUGAAUCCAGCUUAAUAGAUACCUAGGAAUCUGAACUGGAAAUAUUUGAGAAUGAAUUUUUGUAGGUCUACAUUUGAUGAACCUGAAUCUGUGAGCUAGAAAGUCCUGCAUCUCCAAAAAUUAAUUGAUCUUAUUCCAUAUUACUGUGGUAGGUAUAGCAAGUGUAUUAAAUGCAUUAAAACACAAGGAAGAGAACAUAACAGCUACAUCUUCACUUCGUUGUUAAUCUUUAUAUGAUCAUAAACCCUGUUAUUCCCCCCCCCAGAUCAGUGAAGAUACCAAAUGAAGCCGCUGAUCAGAUGGAGAGACUUUACAUAUAGAGGAUACUCUUCUUUUUUGCAUUGCUUUACAUAGGAUGAGGGUGACACCAGAGAAAAUGGGGC
rnacentral:lncRNA from 1 species